rnacentral:rRNA from 1 species
UGCAGAGGUCUCAAGCGUUGUUCGGAUUCAUUGGGCGUAAAGGGUGCGUAGGUGGCAUGGUAAGUCGGAUGUGAAAUCCCGGGGCUCAACCCCGGAACUGCAUUCGAUACUGCUGCGCUAGAGUACUGGAGAGGAGAUUGGAAUUUACGGUGUAGCAGUGAAAUGCGUAGAUAUCGUAAGGAAGACCAGUGGCGAAGGCGGAUCUCUGGACAGUUACUGACACUGAGGCACGAAGGCCAGGGGAGCAAACGGG